AUUGAACGCUGGCGGCAGGCCUAACAAAUGCAAGUAGAACGAGUGGCGGACGGGUGAGUAAUGUCUGGGAAACUGCCUGAUGGAGGGGGAUAACUACUGGAAACGGUAGCUAAUACCGCAUACCAUCAGAUGUGCUCAGAUGGGAUUAGCUUGUUGGUGGGGUAACGGCUCACCAAGGCGACGAUCCCUAGCUGGUCUGAGAGGAUGACCAGCCACACUAGAACGGAGACACGUUCCAGACUCCUACGGGGGGCAGCAGUUGGGAAUAUUGCACAAUGGGCGCAAGCCUGUUGCAGCCAUGCCGCGUGUAUGAAGAAGGCCUUCGGGUUGUAAAGUACUUUCAGCGAGGAGGCGUUACCCGCAGAAGAAGCACCGGCUAACUCCGUGCCAGCAGCCGCGGUAAUUG
rnacentral:rRNA from 1 species